UUUCGCACCCUCCCAACAGUUGCGAAGGAGGAUAAGCACCGACCCAAAUCCCUCUCCCCGUUCCCCCUUCCGAUUCGCCCCCUUCCCGUUCCUCUUCUCGAUACCUCCCUAUUCGCCGCCGGCCAAUCCUCUGACUGCCUGCCGUCGUCUGCAGAGCCGUCGGUUGCCUUAGCUAGGGCUUCCUUUCGUUUGUCCGCCGGUGACGACGCCCCGGAUGCCUCCCUUCUCGAGGGCUACUUGAUUUGGAAGUCGGGGUGAUUGGAAAUUGAUGGUUCGUGCUUGCGGAGGGAUCGAAGGUAACCAAAUCGGGGAAGAUGCACGUCUAUGCAUGGGCGGGAAGGUGAGAGGAAAGUGCGGAGGCUCAUUCGAGUCUGUCUCCUCGCAUGGAGAUAUAGAAGAAGCAUCUCGCCUUGAUCGCUUGCAUCGGAGGUCGUUAUCUGCGUCUGAGACGCAUUUGGAUUCGUUCCUGAAGGAUGGACGAAAAAUACAUGUUGGUGAAUGUGCUCUUUUUCAGGCUCGGAAUGCUCCACCUUUCAUUGGAAUAAUUCGACGUUUAAUGAAAUGCACAGAAGAUUCUCCUAAGUUGUGUGUCAACUGGCUUUAUCGACCUACUGAUCUUAAGCUUGCAAAAGGCAUUUUACUCGAUGCUGCCCCAAAUGAAGUAUUUUACUCUUUCCACAAGGAUGUGAUUCCUGCUGCCUCAUUGCUUCAUCUGUGUAAAGUUGCAUUUUUACCUAAGAGUGUUGAACUUCCACUGGGAAUACCAGCAUUUGUGUGUAGGAGAGUAUAUGACAUUACUAACAAACGUUUGUGGUGGUUGACUGAUCAGGAUUAUACCAAUGAACGCCAGGAAGAAGUUGAUCAACUUUUGAACAAGACUCAUCUAGAAAUGCAUACAGCAGUACAAUCAGAUGGGCAUUCACCAAAGUCUCUUAACAAUUCAACAAUCAACCAACAGGUAAAAUCUGGUUCAGAUAAUGUGCAAAGCAGUGGCACCCCCACUCAAUCUAAGGGAAAGAAGAGAUUGAGGAAUGAUCAAGACAUGGAGCCAAUCAAAGGUGACAAGGGCAUAGAGCCUAUGAAGUUCAACCAGGGAAUUGAAUCAAUCAAGCGACAACAUUCUUCCAAACUCAGUGAUGGAGGAAGUGUUGUCACCAUAAAGUCUGAGAACAUUAAGGCAGAGAUUAAUAAAAUGGCAGAUAAAGGAGCGCUUGUAUGCACGGAAGGAGUUGAGAAUUUGGUUAGUUUAAUGCAACUAGAUAAAAAAGAGAAAAAAAUAGAUUUGGCUGCUCGGAUAAUGCUUACUGAUGUCAUUGCAGCCACAGAGAAAUCUGAUUUCCUUCAAAAGUUUGUGCAACUCAAGGGAGUGCCUGUACUAGAUGAUUGGCUCCGGGAGGUUCACAAAGGAAAGAAUGAUAAUGGUAGUAGUCCUCAUGAAAGUGAAAAUUUAGUUGAGGAUGUUCUCUUGUCUCUACUUCGUGCACUUGAAAAGUUGCCUAUAAACUUGAAUACUCUGCAGACUUGUAACAUUGGCAAGUCCGUGAACAAUUUGCGCAGUUUUAAGAACUUGGAAAUCCAGAAGAAAGCUAGGGGUCUUGUUGACACUUGGAAGAAACGGGUUGAUGCUGAGAUGUCAAAAGUAAAUGAUGGAAGAUCUGUAGGAUUUGGCCAACCAGUUUCAUUGUCAGGCAAGGUAGGCCAUUCUGAUGUCAGUCAAACACAACAUAAGCACACUGAAUCAACUGAUGGAGCUGCUAAAUUGCUGAAUACCCGAUCCUCAGUGAGUAAGUUUCUGACUAGUAAGUCUGGAACCUUAGAUUCUACUAAGUCAAUUGUACCUGCUUCUGUUAUUGUAAGCUCAAAGGAUCCACAAUGUAAAACAGUUGCAAGUAGUGAGGGUUCAGUAUUGCCUCCUGUUGCAGUUAAAGAGGAAAAGAUCAGUGUUUCAAAUCAGUCUCGUAGCAAUAACCAAUCUUGUUUUAGUGAUCAAUCAAAAUUGAUGUCUUUACAGAAGGAAGAAACUAGGAGAUCAGCCACUGAAGCUAUGAAUACUAGCAAGAUAGGUAGCAAUACUAAUCGCAAUCAAAGGUCAAGCAAUGGGCUCCCUGUAACUGACAUACCUGGAGAUCGGAAGGAAGCUCAUUCUGGUAGGUCUGAGGUGGUCAACAAGGUUGUGACAACAGAAAAUGGAUUAGAAACUGGACAGACAUGCCAAAAGCCACUCAAUGCCCCCAUUGGUCAUGGAAAUAUCAGUAGGUUGAUUGUUAGGCUUCCUAACCCUGGCCAAAGACCAGGAAAGAGUGGCAGUGGAGUCCCAGUUGAUGAUCCAUUGGUAAUGGGCAGCAAUCAGUUGCCUUCUGGUAUGUCAGACAAACUAGAUUUGAAUGAUGGUAGAAUGAAGCAGAAGAGUGAUCUUCCUCUUAAUCAUAUCACUACAUAUGAAAAUGCAGUGUCAUGUCAAGGCAAUGAGGUUGAAGAAGGAUUAGUUGGAAAUGGAGAAGUUAGCUCACCAAUGGGUUCUGAUGAAGAACAUAGAAGAAAUGUUGAAGUAACUGUAAAUGUUGCAGAUCCUGCUACAACUGCCUAUUUGACAUCUGGGAAUGAAAAUGGAGCUUGCUCAACUGAACCAAGGACAAUAAAUUCUUAUAGUUCUAUGCAUGCCUUGGUAGAAAGCUGUGCCAAAUAUUCUGAAGCUAUCACUCCUUUGGUAGCUGGAGAUGAUGCAGGGAUGAAUCUACUAGCUACUGUUGCCACUGGGGAAAUUUCCCAAUUUAACAUAAUGACACAAAUUGAUUCAAAUGGAACUCCACCUGCUGUGGAGGAACGGUGCAGCAGAAAUGAUGAAUUUAGGUUAUCUUGCCAUGAUGAUAUGGGUCAGAGGAAUCUCCAAUACGAUGAAUGUGUCAAUGCUAAUUCUGAGAAGCAAGGGAAGAAAGUUGGUAAUACAUUUGGUAAAGAUCUAUUACAAACUGAAGAUGCCAAGUUGACAAGUAGCAGUGCUAGUGAUUCUCAACUGCAGAAUAAUAAACUAAAUGGCCAUCAAGCAACACAAAAUACUAUUACCUGUAUGAGUUCGCUUGAUAAUUAUAAUUCUAUGAAUGUAGAGGAAAAACCUGCAGUUGAAAGAAUCAACAAUGCUGCAUAUAUACCAGCGGAAGUUGAGCAGGGCAAUAGGGUUGGAACUGCUUCAAUUGAAGAUGAACAAACUACCGAUGUGCAAGUUUCUGACACUUGUACUUAUACUGAGCCUAAGUUUAUGAGCCCAUUGAAGGAUGAAAAUACAUCACUUCAUGAUGAUUAUAAGAAGACUGAAGAUAACAAUGGGUGCACUUCUGAUGCUAAAGUAGAUGGUAAAUGUGAUAUAGAUGCCACCAAUUCUGAUACGAAAGUAGAAGUACCUCUUGUUCAGGAGGAUAUGUCAAGCCAAAUAGUGGAGAAAGUAUUAAGUGCUUCUAUCUCAACUGAAAGCCUACAGAAAGCUCCAUCCCCAGAUGCCGUAGCUGAAAAUACUGAUUCCAUUGUUUCAUUUCCUGAUGGUAAUAUUCCUUCUCCUAUGGCUAUUAAUGAGUCCAAGAUUUUGUGUUCUGAUCACACAAGAAUCAACCCCAUGGAGUUGUCCCAUGAAGCAAAAGAGGACAAUAGUAUUCCCCCUCAUAGCACUGAUGAAUCAGUAGUAUCAGCUGCUAUUUCUUUGGACACUGCUGAGAUUGUUAGAGAUUUAAAGGAGGUUAAUGAGGAUGGCCCAGUUGGAACAGCAAGUCAUGAAGUGACAUCUACUUCUAAAAUCAAGGAAACUGAGAAUUCUGUGAAGUCCUCUAGAACAUCUGGAUUUGAUGCAGAAGCUGGGGAAGGGGGUAUUGCAUCAUCUGUGAACUGCUCUUCAUCAAGUGUUACUGAACAUGUCGUUGCCACUAGAUUUGAACUUGAUUUGAAUGAAGUUAUUCCUGCUGUUGAAGGGAAUCAAGACAAACAUGAUAUCUCCUCAACAAUAUGUUCAUCAGCAAAUCACUUGCCUAGCCUAUCUCCCUUUUCAAGUCCCAUAUCCACUGAUUUGCCUGCAUCUUUUACUGUAUCUUUACCAGCAAAAGGGCCUUUUAUUCCUCAUGAAAUUUUGUUGAAGGCCAAGGGUGAACUUGGAUGGAAAGGCUCAGCAGCUACUAGUGCUUUCCGGCAAGCAGAGUCAAAGAAAAUAUCUGAAGUUCCUGAUAUCAUCCCAUCUAAUGGUGUUGGAAAGAAGAGCCACUCUCUGCUAAAUAUCGACCUUAACAUACCUGAUGAGGAAGUUCUCGAAGACGCACCUUCUCAGAGCUCUAUUCAAAUGAUGAUGACUACUACUGAUUAUUAUUCACCUUCAAGAACUGCUGCAGAAGUUGAUCUUGAUUUAAAUAGAGUUGAUGAGACGCUAGAAAAUGAUCACCGUUUGGCUAGCACCAGCGGUAGAUUAGAGCUGCCGCUGUUGCCCAUGCAACCUGCAUCUGGAGGACUAUCUGCAGGCAAAGCUAAUUUUCUCAGGAACUUUGAUCUGAAUGACAGACCAGACAUUGAUGAGCUUAGUACAGAAGCAGUAACUAGGAACCAACAAGAUUCAAGGACUGUACCAAAUUUGUCUCAUGUUACUUGUCGUAGAACAAAUUCCAAGUCUGGUUAUACUUUACCUUGGUGUGUUCCUCACUCUUAUCCAGUUGUUGCUGUACCAUCUCUUCUGCUUGAUAGAGGAGAUAAAUCAAAUCCGGUAGUUGCAACUGCAGAACCCCUGAUGAUUCCAGGUUCAUUAAAUGGUGUUAAUCUUUGUAGCAAUAUUUAUCGCAGUACAUCUUUUUCACCAUCACCAGCAACACUGGUUACUCCAGCUACAUCAUUUCCUUAUGCAAACUCAUCGUUUCCUCCUUCCACUUUUACACUAGCUCCAGUGUCUUUCUCUGGUGGUUCAACAUCUUAUGUUGAUACUUCUUAUGGAGGUGGUUCUUGCUUCCCUGCUUAUUCGUCAUUAUUUGUUGCUCCUGCUAGUGCUGUUUCAUCUAAUUAUCCAAGUCCCUACAUGACAAGCUUUCCAGAAGGUGGCACUAGUACUAUGAGUAGACAAGUCUUUGAUUUGAAUACUGGUCCAGGGAGUGCAGAUACAGAAGGAAAAGAUGAGAAACUGCUUUCUGCAUCAAGACAAUUUUUAGUUGCUACUUCUCAGUCAUUCAUGGAGGAUCAGGUCAGAAUGAAUGGUCUUCCUACUGUAGGUUCAAAGAGAAAAGAUCCUGAAGAGAGUUGGGGUGCAGAAAGUGCUGCCGAGAGGUCUGCUAAGCAAGUCUUGUGGAAGUAAGGAGAUGAUCGAAGAAACAAUUUCAUCUGUAGCUCGACUCUGGCACAAUCGUAUGUGGAAUUUCUUUCUUGUAUUACUUGUUCACUAGGUUAUACAUACAAACAAAAGCUCACACUCUAGUGUUUGCGUCAAGCAUUACAUUGGAUCUUUUGGAGAUAUUUAAAAUGUUCGCCUCCAUGUUCUUUGGCAUAGAGAUGUCGUUACUGAUACCAUACCUCUUCAUGGUAACUUGACACUAUAGCUCAGUUGUACUAAGUAAUCUAUGAGACUUCUUUGGAAACUACUAUUUGUUUUUUGUAGGUACUGUACUUUUAUUGCGAGUGUAAAAUUAGUGUAACAAUUUUUUUAGCUUGAAAGAUCAAAACUUAAUUUGCUUU